AAAAUAAAUUAAAAUAAUGUAAAUUUUGAUCACGAAGGUGGUUUCCCCAGGGCGAGGCUUAUCCAUUGCACUCCGGAUGUGCUGACCCCUGCGAUUUCCCCAAAUGUGGGAAACUCAACUGCAUAAUCUGUGAUAGUGGGGGACUGCGUUCGCGCUCUA